rnacentral:rRNA from 1 species
AGUUUGAUCCUGGCUCAGAGUGAACGCUGGCGGUAGGCCUUACACAUGCAAGUCGAACGCCCCGCAAGGGGAGUGGCAGACGGGUGAGUAACGCGUGGGAAUCUACCGUGCCCUGCGGAAUAGCUCCGGGAAACUGGAAUUAAUACCGCAUACGCCCUACGGGGGAAAGAUUUAUCGGGGUAUGAUGAGCCCGCGUUGGAUUAGCUAGUUGGUGGGGUAAAGGCCUACCAAGGCGACGAUCCGUAACUGGUCUGAGAGGAUGAUCAGUCACACUGGAACUGAGACACGGUCCAGACUCCUACGGGAGGCAGCAGUGGGGAAUAUUGGACAAUGGGCGAAAGCCUGAUCCAGCCAUGCCGCGUGUGUGAAGAAGGCCUUCGGGUCGUAAAGCACUUUAAGUUGGGAGGAAGGGCUCAUAGCGAAUACCUGUGAGUUUUGACGUUACCAACAGAAUAAGCACCGGCUAACUUCGUGCCAGCAGCCGCGGUAA